GUCUCCCCUCUGGCUACCAGUGAAGGCUUGUGGGGUUUUCUUUGAUUCGGUAACAGAGUCCCAAGAUUCCAAGUUCCAGGAGCAUGAAAGGACUCACUUGUGGAGAUUCCUGCCUGGGGCUCCCACCCACCUAAGGAAUGCCAUCCUUGUCACCGGCUCACGGGGCAGCUCUUUGGUAUCCUUCCAGGGUGGUGUGUACAAGUACAGGCACAUGGAUGCAUGGAUGCAUGAGCAUUUUUUUCUUUUGCCGACAUAUUAAUACACCCGGCAGCACUCUAGGCCCAUUGGCCUGCAACUUUUCAUUUGAUUGAUUUUUAAUUAUUUACUUUUUUAAAAAAUUGUAGUUAAAUAUACAUGACAUAUAUUUACCAUUUGAGUCUUUUUUUUUUUUUUGAGAUGGAGUCUUGCUCUAUCUCCCAGGCUGGAGUGCAGUGGUGUGAUCUCGGCUCACUGCAACCUCCACAGCCUGAUCCUGGGUUCAAGGGAUUCUCCUGCCUCAGCCUCCCGAGUAGUUGGGAUUACAGGCGCCUGCCACCAUGCCUGGAUAAUUUUUUUUUCUUUUGAG
rnacentral:lncRNA from 10 species